rnacentral:rRNA from 1 species
UUGAACGCUGGCGGCAUGCCUUACACAUGCAAGUCGAACGGUAACAGCUCUUCGGAGGCUGACGAGUGGCGAACGGGUGAGUAAUACAUCGGAACGUGCCCGAUCGUGGGGGAUAACGGAGCGAAAGCUUUGCUAAUACCGCAUACGAUCUACGGAUGAAAGCAGGGGACCCUCGGGCCUUGCGCGAACGGAGCGGCCGAUGGCAGAUUAGGUAGUUGGUGGGAUAAAAGCUUACCAAGCCGACGAUCUGUAGCUGGUCUGAGAGGACGACCAGCCACACUGGGACUGAGACACGGCCCAGACUCCUACGGGAGGCAGCAGUGGGGAAUUUUGGACAAUGGGCGCAAGCCUGAUCCAGCCAUGCCGCGUGAGUGAAGAAGGCCUUCGGGUUGUAAAGCUCUUUCGGCCGGGAAGAAAUCGUGGUCUCUAACAUAGGCCAUGGAUGACGGUACCGGACUAAGAAGCACCGGCUAACUACGU